rnacentral:rRNA from 1 species
UACGUAGGGUGCAGGCGUUAAUCGGAAUUACUGGGCGUAAAGCGUGCGCAGGCGGUCUUUUAAGUCAGAUGUGAAAUCCCCGGGCUUAACCUGGGAACUGCGUUUGAAACUGGAAGGCUUGAGUGUGGCAGAGGGGGGUGGAAUUCCACGUGUAGCAGUGAAAUGCGUAGAGAUGUGGAGGAACACCGAUGGCGAAGGCAGCCCCCCGGGCUAACACUGACGCUCAUGCACGAAAGCGUGGGUAGCAAACAGG